rnacentral:rRNA from 1 species
GUAACGUCAAGACUCCCGGGUAUUAACCGAAAGCUUUUCUUCUCUACUGAAAGUGCUUUACAACCCGCAGGCCUUCUUCACACACGCGGCAUUGCUGGAUCAGGGCUUCCCCCAUUGUCCAAUAUUCCCC